CGUUUUUUUUUUUUUUUUUUUUUUUUUCUU
rnacentral:ribozyme from 1 species